rnacentral:rRNA from 1 species
UGGGGAAUCUUGCGCAAUGGGCGAAAGCCUGACGCAGCCAUGCCGCGUGGAUGAUGAAGGUCUUAGGAUUGUAAAAUCCUUUCACCGGUGAAGAUAAUGACUGUAGCCGGAGAAGAAGCCCCGGCUAACUUCGUGCCAGCAGCCGCGGUAAUACGAAGGGGGCUAGCGUUGCUCGGAAUUACUGGGCGUAAAGGGAGCGUAGGCGGACAUUUAAGUCAGAGGUGAAAUCCCGGAGCUUAACUUCGGAACUGCCUUUGAUACUGGGUGUCUUGAGUGUGAGAGAGGUAUGUGGAACUCCGAGUGUAGAGGUGAAAUUCGUAGAUAUUCGGAAGAACACCAGUGGCGAAGGCGACAUACUGGCUCAUUACUGACGCUGAGGCUCGAAAGCGUGGGGAGCAAACAG